AAGAAAUGAAGAGGAAAAAGAAGGAACAACCGAACAAAGACCACGUGGACACGUAUCUUCUUCUCGUUUUCACCAACUUCCAUCCUCUUCGUCUUCAACCUGCGUUUCUUCUCCUUCUACAAUUUCCACUCUCUCCCUAUCACUGCCUUUCCAAUGGCGACCUCAGCCGUGAUUGGGUGGAGGAUUCUGUUCCUUCUAUUGGCCUGCACAAUGGUUUCAACUCUAGCUUACACACUCGUCACUGAUGGCUCUCCUUUCCGCAAAGAACUUCUCUCUCGGUUAAUGGUGGCAGUAUUAGUUGAUUUCUAUUUAAAUGUCACAGUUAUUGCGGCAUGGGUUUGCUACAAGGAAUCAAACUGGAUUGCUGCAGCGAUUUGGAUAGUUUUUCUUGUAUGUCUUGGCAGCAUCGCUACUUGUGCCUACAUCCUUUGGCAGUUGUGGCAACUAUCGUCUCAGGAAUCCUUUGAAGAUAUUAUGUACAGUGUUCUUAUCAGGGAUACAAACAAGUUUGGCUCUGUCUCUCUCAUACACACACAGAACAGGAAUGGCGUGCAGCAACCCAGGAAGCACUCCAAUAUUAUGAUUGCAAGAAUAGUUUUUGGUGCUAUGAGUUGUUUGAUGGUGGUAACUUUGGCCUAUCUUUUCAGCGAUGGUUCACCUUUUAACAAGGACCUUUAUACACCCUGGUUGGUGGCAACGCUGAUUGAUUUCUAUAUAAACGGCACAGCUAUCUCAGUCUGGAUGUUCUAUAAAGAAGAAUCUUGGCUUACUGCUUUCAUUUGGAUAGUUCUAUUCAUAAUCUUUGGAAGCGCCUCUUCAUGUUCUUUCAUUGUUAAGGAGCUGUUCAAGCUCAACUCCGACGAUCCAGCAUACCUUGUUUUAUUUAAAAAUUCUAACAGAGGUAGUUGAUGAGUUGGAUAUUCAACACUAUUGGCUCUCUACAUAGCCUUCUGGCUUAAUAGAGGUAAAAACUUAAUAUGGCUUCUUCUUGCAUAUUGUUAUCCAUUUAUGUUAGGUCAGAAAGAAGGUAUGAAAGAACAUCGUCCUCAUAAGCUGCAAAGGAAGUUAGAGGAAUUUACCUUGUUCUGAUUUGUAACUCACAAACAAACAAGGGGACUGCUAGAAUACCGAUAUCAUAUUAAGUUUAUCUUCAUCUAUGAACUUAAACUUUUUAUUUUAUAGAAAAAAAAAGCAAGCAGAAGUUUGUACCUCAAACCUCAUGAAUGUUUCACGGCUAGAUCCAUUGAUGAGUGAUUGCAUUUCUGUUUCUUUGUUAGAAUUUUUCCUAGUGUAAUUUAGUCUAUAAAAUUUGUGUAGUGCAACUCUGUUCCUAAAUUUGAUUAUGUAUUUUUAGUACAUAAUAUUCAAAAAUUAAGAUACUAUUUUUGUUUACCACAUU